rnacentral:rRNA from 1 species
UACGGAGGGGGCUAGCGUUGUUCGGAAUUACUGGGCGUAAAGCGCACGUAGGUGGCGACGUAAGUCGGGUGUGAAAUCCCUGGGCUCAACCUGGGAACGGCAUUCGAGACUGUGUUGCUGGAGUACGGAAGAGGAGGGCGGAAUUCCCGGUGUAGCGGUGAAAUGCGUAGAUAUCGGGAGGAACAUCAGUGGCGAAGGCGACUACCUGGCCUGUUCUUGACGCUGAGGCGCGAAAGCUAGGGAGCAAACGGG